rnacentral:lncRNA from 1 species
GGACAAGAAUACUUACCCAAUUAUGCUUGAUUAGUCUCUUUUCUCUCUCCUAGGGUUUCCAUGUAUUUUGGGGAUGAAGAUGAUAAUAAUAUGAUGAUAUUUCUUAUUUAUUAAUUUAUCAUCUUUUAAUUAUUUUAGUUUUCAAUUUAGUCCUUAACCUUUUCUAAUUUUUCCAUGGAUGAAUCACCAAAAAUAUCUACUAACUUUUCUUUAAUGGUCUAA